GACUCCGUAGCUUGAAGGGAUAGAAGCGCCCGUCUAGCGAAUUGGGAGUCGUGAGUUCGAGUCUCACCGGAGUAC
rnacentral:tRNA from 1 species